rnacentral:rRNA from 1 species
CCUACGGGAGGCUGCAGUGGGGAAUAUUGGACAAUGGGGGGAACCCUGAUCCAGCCAUGCCGCGUGUGUGAAGAAGGCCCUCGGGUUGUAAAGCACUUUCAGUGAGGAAGAACGCCUGGUGGUUAAUACCCAUCAGGAAAGACAUCACUCACAGAAGAAGCACCGGCUAACUCCGUGCCAGCAGCCGCGGUAAUACGGAGGGUGCGAGCGUUAAUCGGAAUUACUGGGCGUAAAGCGCGCGUAGGUGGCUUGAUAAGCCGGUUGUGAAAGCCACGGGCUCAACCUGGGAACGGCAUCCGGAACUGUCAAGCUAGAGUGCAGGAGAGGAAGGUAGAAUUCCCGGUGUAGCGGUGAAAUGCGUAGAGAUCGGGAGGAAUACCAGUGGCGAAGGCGGCCUUCUGGACUGACACUGACACUGAGGUGCGAAAGCGUGGGUAGCAAACAGGAUUAGAUACCCUGGUAGUC